CCUACGGGAGGCAGCAGUGGGGAAUAUUGGGCAAUGGAGGCAACUCUGACCCAGCAACGCCGCGUGAAUGAUGAAGGUCUUCGGAGUUGAAAGCUCUUUGUGGGGGGAUGAACACAAUGACGGUACCCCAAUAGCAAGCCACGGCUAACUACGGGCCAGCAGCCGCGGUAAUACGUAGGGGGCAAGCGUUAUCCGGAAUGACUGGGCGUAAAGGGUGCGUAGGUGGUUUAGUAAGUUGGCGGUGUAAUUCCGGGGCUCAACCUCGGCGCUACCGCCAAAACUAUUAGACCAGAGUGCAGGAGGGGUAAGUGGAAUUCCUAGUGUAGCGGUGGAAUGCGUAGAUAUUAGGAAGAACAUCAGGGGCGAAGGCGGCUUACUGGACUGUAACUGACACUGAGGCACGAAAGCGUGGGGAGCGAACAGGAUUAGAUACCCUAGUAGUC
rnacentral:rRNA from 1 species